rnacentral:lncRNA from 1 species
CGUCAUCCACCAGAACCAACCCUUCUCAGUUAGGACAAAGGAUCUCCUCCGUAGCAACGUUAGUGCUUAGUCUUAUGAUCCCAAUGGUGACAAUGGGAUUUGUAUGGCCAUGGACCGGUCCUGCAGCAUCAGCUACUCUUGCACCCUACCUCGUAGGCAUUGUCGUUCAGUUUGCUUUCGAACAGUACGCUAGAUACAGGAAGUCUCCAUCAUCUCUCACCAUCCCCAUCAUCUUUCAGGUAUGCAGCAAUGCAAUCUUCUUGCCAUAACAAAAUUUUCACUUUUGUAACGUUUUUUGAAAGGAUAUGUGUUUGGUUCUUUAGGUGUAUAGACUUCAUCAGCUGAAUAGAGCGGCACAGUUAGUGACAGCGUUGUUGUUCACGGUGAAAGGAGCAGAGGCAACGGUUAAUAAUCUGGAAAUCAAGAAAUCACUGGGUAUGCUUUUGAGUGUGAUACAGGUUUUGGGUAUGAUUUCAAUAUGGUCCAUCUCAAGCUUCCUCAUGUGGUUAUCACCACCACCACCUUCCCAAAACCAGUCUUGAAGAAUAAUUGUUAUGUUUUCAGUUUCUAAAGUGUAUAAUAACUUCACCUUUUGAUAGGUUUAUUUACAUUUGAAAGAUAAAUGGUUAUGGUUCUAGAGGUGUUUAUAUCAAACAUGUUUUCUUGGAAUGUUGAGUGAAUUUUUUUAAAACUGCAACAUGUUUUUCUAUUUAUAGUAAAUGAAUUUUCUUCCUAAAAAUAGGAAUGGUCUAUUUAUGGUAACUCCAGCCUCCUUAUCUGAAAGAAAGUCCAUACUGUUAUGUUCAAAUUGCUUUAGUAUCAGGUUUUGGUCGGAUAAACUUGAUCCAAUCAGUCUAACGUUUCCUUCAGAGACCAUAAACCAAGAGAAGUCUCUCAAAAGAGAGCUUAUUUGCCUCUUGCUACUUCAGAAGACGAUCCAGAAACACUAAGUCAACCCGAAGAUACACCUCGAGAUGAUAGUUCAUCUAUCCAACACAAUGGAAACGGUGGCAAACCGGGUUUCAUUUCGUUUUACAACCCUCGGAACAAGGCAGAGGGUCUCCUUCUCCCUCCUGAAGAAGCACAGAGCACAUGGGGACGCCUCCUCUGGCUCAUUGGUCCUACUGUCUUAGUCUCCUCCUUCACUCUACCUCCCAUUUACUUGCGAAGAAUCGUCUCAGCUGUUUUUGAAGACUCUUUACUCACAGGUUACCUCUCUUUCCAUCCCUCUCCCUUUACUUCUCAACUUGACACAACUUUCUAUUUGCAGACUUCCUCAUAUUGUUCUUCACUGAGGCUCUCUUCUACUGUGGAGUCGCCGCUUUUCUUCUGAUAACACACCGUUCGAAAACGUCAUCCACCAGAACCAACCCUUCUCAGUUAGGACAAAGGAUCUCCUCCGUAGCAACGUUAGUGCUUAGUCUUAUGAUCCCAAUGGUGACAAUGGGAUUUGUAUGGCCAUGGACCGGUCCUGCAGCAUCAGCUACUCUUGCACCCUACCUCGUAGGCAUUGUCGUUCAGUUUGCUUUCGAACAGUACGCUAGAUACAGGAAGUCUCCAUCAUCUCUCACCAUCCCCAUCAUCUUUCAG